rnacentral:rRNA from 1 species
AACGAACGCUGGCGGCAGGCCUAACAGAUGCAAGUCGAGCGAGGACUUCGGUCCUAGCGGCGGACGGGUGAGUAACGCGUGGGAACGUGCCCUUUGCUACGGAAUAGCCCCGGGAAACUGGGAGUAAUACCGUAUGUGCCCUUCGGGGGAAAGAUUUAUCGGCAAAGGAUCGGCCCGCGUUGGAUUAGGUAGUUGGUGGGGUAAUGGCCUACCGAGCCGACGAUCCAUAGCUGGUUUGAGAGGAUGAUCAGCCACACUGGGACUGAGACACGGCCCAGACUCCUACGGGAGGCAGCAGUGGGGAAUCUUAGACAAUGGGCGCAAGCCUGAUCUAGCCAUGCCGCGUGAGCGAUGAAGGCCUUAGGGUUGUAAAGCUCUUUCAGUGGGGAAGAUAAUGACGGUACCCACAGAAGAAGCCCCGGCUAACUCCGUGCCAGCCGCCGCCGUAAGAC